CUGUUUUGUUCGGGAAUCAGUGAUGCUUUAGAUGGCAACCUCCUACUCGGGACUCUAUAUCUUAAAGAAAUUUCUCUGUCAAACCUAAAGUGUCAUCCAUGGUGUUCUGUGUAUUAUUUUAUGGAUGCAGUAGUCUUUGAAUUUCAUAUACAAUGCUAAUUGUGUUUCUUUUUCAGAACCCAAAUGCUGAUCUCAUCUUACAUUUUAAGGAUAUAGGCAGCUUAAGUUCCCUACUGUUAAUUACUAUAGAAAAAGAACAUACUGUAAGACUGCUA
rnacentral:lncRNA from 1 species